UAGCCACAAACCAAAGAAAUUUCCAGAGAAGGAAAAAAAAAAAGAAAGAAGCCUCAUCUCUUCUUCUUCACCAAGAAGAAAUAUUUUCCUACACCAUCCAUUAAAGCUUGAGGUUUGGGAAUUCAAGCUUCUAUUGUUUAUUAUCUACCUCUAGCAACAAUAAAAUAAGAUCGUACGUGUAUUUGGAUUGGAGAAAUAGAGAAUUUGGAGGGUUAAACAACGGGCUAUUUUAUUGUGCUUUAUGAAAUUUGGAUUAAGCGAUCGAGUGUUUUCUUUCAGGAUUAAUACUUGAUGAUGUGGUCGAGCUUCCAACCAUUGUUCCGGAAGUCUCAAUUAUGGGGAGUCUUAUUUUUCUUAGAGCUGCAGUAGUCAAGAUAUUAGAGUUAGCUUGUAGCAAACAAUUUAUGUUUAUUUUAUGCCAUGACAUAAUAAUGUAUUUUGGGAAAAUGAAUUAUCCAGGAACUUAAUAUAUGGUUAAUUGGUAUUUUA